rnacentral:rRNA from 1 species
GAUGAACGCUGGCGGCGUGCUUAACACAUGCAAGUCGAACGGAAAGGCCCAAGAUUGCUUGGGUACUCGAGUGGCGAACGGGUGAGUAACACGUGGGUGAUCUGCCCUGCACUUCGGGAUAAGCCUGGGAAACUGGGUCUAAUACCGGAUAGGACCACAUCUUGGAUGGUGUGGUGGAAAGAUUUUCGGUGUGGGAUGAGCUCGCGGCCUAUCAGCUUGUUGCUGGGGUAAGGGCCUACCAAGGCGUCGACGGGUAGCCGGCCUGAGAGGGUGUACGGCCACAUUGGGACUGAGAUACGGCACAGACUCCUACGGGAGGCAGCAGUGGGGAAUAUUGUACAAUGGGCGGAAGCCUGAUGCAGCGACGCCGCGUGGGGGAUGACGGCCUGCGGGUUGGAAUCUCCUUUCGCUAUGGACGAAGCGCAAGUGACGGUACCUGGAGAAGAAGCACCGGCUAACUACGUG